rnacentral:rRNA from 1 species
UACAGAGGUCUCAAGCGUUGUUCGGAUUCAUUGGGCGUAAAGGGUGCGUAGGCGGCGCGGUAAGUCGGGUGUGAAAUCUCGGAGCUUAACUCCGAAAACUGCAUUCGAUACUGCCGUGCUUGAGGACUGGAGAGGAGACUGGAAUUUACGGUGUAGCGGUGAAAUGCGUAGAUAUCGUAAGGAAGACCAGUGGCGAAGGCGGGUCUCUGGACAGUUCCUGACGCUGAGGCA